UGUGUUUGUAGGUUGUGGGGGUGGAGUUUCAGGGCAUCACUAGGCUGGGGCGUGGCCAACAGCGAUGGCUGCCUGUCAGCCGCCUCUCCCACCUGCGACCUGUGCAGCAAUUAUCCUUGCUCGCAGCUCUGCAAGCAAGCCACCCUCACUUUCUGGCCUGAUGGCAGACAGUGUAGCCUCUCCCCAAAAACUGGAUUUCAGAGAGAUCAGGAGCUUGUCUCUCUUCCAGUUGAAGAAAACAACACUCUCCGCCAGCUGGGAUCCGCCGCUAGCCCUUAUCGCAUUCGCACCCCACUACCUCAGUUUUUCAGCGCUUGUGCCCUGAAUGCUUCUUUAUCUUUCAGUCUAGUUGUAGAGCUUCCACUCAGCCAGCCCUCCCUUGGCUUUGGGUGAUAGCUGUUCCAUUUUUUAGUUGUAGUUUUGAAACUGUUGUGUACGGCAGCAGCUCAGGUGUGUUUACCUACGCCGCCAUCUUCAUUCCAGCAUUUAGAUACUCUCCAAUUUAUUACCACUGAUAUGAAUUUGACAUAAAAAGGAUAGGGUCCACCUAUAUCCAACCAUUCUCAAGUCACCCCUCCUAAAGUAGAUGACAAAUCAGUCUUUUCAAAUGACUGUUUUUAAUAGGAGGCACAUACACAGUGGUUUCAGACAUGGGCAUCAAUCACCAGCCUGCAUCAUUAGUGUAGCCUUUAGCAAUUAAUGACCUAAGUGUCAGUUUCAUCAUUUGUGUAAUGGGGAUUAUAAGAGGUCAUAUUUCACAAUGAACUAAAUGAAAUUAGCAAUGUCGGUUCAUUCUAAUCUUUCAAUAAAUUAUGUAUAUUAUUUUGCCAAAGGGAAUACCCUAAUCUAGAAUAAUAAUAUAAUAGAGGUACAGAUAUAGUUAGAUACAGGGCACCUUCCAAAUUCAGAACACAUACACAGAGAGGUGCUGAGGAAACUGUCAAUCAGUGAAUUCAGUAACAACUUUCAAAAUGCUGACUCUGGAAGUGUGGAUGACUGAGAUUCCUAAAGAUGAUAAUCUCCUAGGUACAGCUCUAGCAUUUCUCUCAGUAUCUUAUUAGUGUUCUGAGAGAGCAAAGGUAGGGGAAAGGCUUCCUGGCCACCUGUAUUCUUACCCUUUCUUAUCCAAACUGGCCUUCAUAUUGUGGAAAUAAGGGAAGAAUUGUCCAUAAAGCAAAGCUGUGCCAUCAGUCCGCGGCUACCAGACAGGGAAUACAUGUGUCUCUAAACAAACAUGUGGGUCCCCUACUGUCGUCAUUGCUAAGUAUUUCACAUCAGACUUCUCACCCCAAUUAUUAUGAAAGUUCUCUGGAGAUUAAAAACAUUAUACUAUUUUGAAUCCCCUGCAGUUACUGAUAGGUGCUUGAUAUAGGGAAAAACUUUACACACCUGGUGAUCACAAGAUCUGCUUUUUAAAGUUUUAAGAUAUUUUAUGCAUCCCACAAAGCUACUUAGGCUGGAUUUCCUGAAUGCCCCCAAUCCUAAUUUAUUGAUGGAAAGAAUAUUAAUAAUAUAUAUCCUAUAAAGCUAAUUCUAAUAAAUCACUUUACUUCUAAUCACUUUGCUCAAGCCUUAAUUUACUCCAUACCUAUUUAAUGAGGUACCAUCUCCAAAGUAUGGAUAAAUUUUAAAAGAUAUACUAAAGAACUGUUCAGGGAAUAAUUGGUACAUAAAAAUUUUAAGCACAAGACCCUCUUGGGUCUAUAUAUGUGGACAUGCUACCAAAAAGGAGAAAUGUUCCAAAUCUCAAAUCAGGACCAUUUUUCUGUUUUCACUUUCUAGUAUUUAAAACAAAAAUACAAUGAUAAUGAUGGUAGUAACUUAUUAUGCACUAACUUUGUAUGAGGCAAUGUUUUAAGCACUAAUGUGGAUCAUCUUAUUUAAUCCUCACGAAAACCUUAUGAGGUGGAUACUAUAAUGUCCAUCAUACAGGGAUGCAAAUUGAGGCAGUAAGAAGUUAAGAUCACACAGCUAGUACUGUACUUCUUUUAGUAAGAGAAGUCCCUUUUAAUUUUCAAUAUAAAUUUUAAGAGGGGAAAAAAGUCCAAAAUUCUGCCCUAUUGUUUUCAGUACAAUUCAAUCAAAUAUUUAUUGGACACAGCAACCAGACAACUGAGGACACGGAUCACCAGGACCUUGUCACCGUUUCAAGGAUUCACAUAAUUUUCUGGAAAAAACACAUAAAUAACAUAGCAUACUGCUUAUUAACGUAGGUGUAUUGUGUCACAUGAUGCAAUCACAGAAAUAGGCUCAAGCUACAUGGACAAAGGCUGAGC